rnacentral:lncRNA from 1 species
ACUUUUCAGAGCCAAUAAAGACAUUGUGCUGGUUUUGUUUUUUCUUUAUUUAGAUACUGACCGAGCUUUAGUACUGCUGGAAGAAUAUUGCAAAAAACUACGGAAGCCAGAAGAGCAACAGCUGAAAAAAGCCAUCAGAAAGGUGAUGGGCAUCUUUAAGAGCAGCUUGUUUCAGGCACUUCUAGAUAGCUUCAAAAAGAAAGCAACCAGACAUGGAACUACCUCCCACACUUCACUGCCAGCGGCUUUUGCAUGUGAUGUCCUUGGAAACCCAAAAGAUUAGCCAGUCUCAUCCACCUGGCCCAUGUCACAGGGAUCAAGGACAUUUCUCCAUCUGCAAACUUAAGCUCAUGCUCUCUGAAAGUGAAGAGAACAAAUUGAAAGUUAGAGUCUGAGACGACUAAUAGGGACAUCUCAUUCUUGAUGGGGGCAACAGUCCUCUCAUGUGGCAAUGCAUUAUCAGCAACAAAGAAGGUUCUUCUACUCUGGUAUUUUUCAGAGUUGAACUUCAGCUAUCAGCCUGCACCCUAGGACCAUUACUGACCACUACAACUGCAUCACUUGCAUCCUGGCACAUUUUGACAUCCAGGAGAACUCAAUACUUCUGCUAUAAAGAAUGUGGACAUGAAGAUCAGCUUGUAUAUUUGUGUCCCUGAAUGUUUUCCACUUGAGGAAAAACCCUGUGUGCUAUUGGAUAAGGUCCUGAAACAUAAUUUAAAAGCAUCAUCAGCAGGAAAAACCCAUCAUGAAGUGGGAGAAAGUCUUCUUGAACAUUAUUCAUUUGAAUGAUGGAGCUGUGUAGAAGCAGAUAUUGAGAAGAUGCAGCUGAUGUGUGACCGAGUACCAAAUGGACAUCCUUAGAGAAGACAGUUCUAACUUCCCUAAGUCAUCACUACUCUCUUAGUAGGCCAUAUUUUUUAGGGAAUCACUCAGCAUGUGUGUCAGCUUUCCCAGACCUAAAUUAUUUUAAGCUGCAUAUUUCUUUCGGAGUGAAAAUUUGAGAUCCUGCAGCCCAUGAAUUGCUGUGAAGACAUGGAAGCCAGAUUCCUCACUUUUAAGGGACUGGUGUGGUGGCAUACAGGAGUCUAAUGUUCCAUGCAAUUUAUGAUUUUCCACUUUAUUGAAGAAAUAAUUCUGUUUGUAGUUUUAUGAAUUUGCAGUCUUGAAUACCCAGUACUGCAGGUCACAAUUUUAUCUAUAGGCUGUUCCAUCUUAAGUGAAGAAACACUAUAUGUUGUUAAAACCCUGAUCUCCAAGAGUUUGUAAAAAGAAAAAUUCAUGAUGGUUGACUUAAAAUGUAAUUUUUAAAAGUUGAACAUUUAUUAUUAAAGC